AUGGGAGGCUCCUGGCGCAAGUUCAAGCGAACCCGCACCAAGAUGCGUGUGGGGUUGCCGCGCAAGAAGCCGCGCGAGUUCAAGCCGGCCUUCGACCUGCCCGAGGCGCUCGCCGCCGCCGGCGGCCACAUGCCGAGCUGGGACGCGGAAGGCAGUGUCGUGAAGAACUACUCCGCUUUCGGGGUCCUGGCCAACCCCAACCUGCUCGGCGCCCACUCCCGCGGCACGCGAGGCCUCGUCCAGAGCGCCUCGCUGCAGGCGCCCGACGUCGACGCCUUGCGCGCCCCCGUGGACGAGUUCGGCCCCGUCGACACCGGCAGUGACCUCGAGUGCGACGUCUUUGCCCCUGUUUUUCAACCCUUAAAAGUAUCAAAAAGUGGCACUUCUCAACCCUUAAAACUUUCGAUCCGGAGCGUAACGAUACGUGACCAAUUUUAUUAG
rnacentral:rRNA from 1 species